rnacentral:rRNA from 1 species
UACGGAGGGUGCAAGCGUUAUCCGGAUUCACUGGGUUUAAAGGGUGCGUAGGUGGAGUGGUAAGUCAGUGGUGAAAUCUCCAAGCUUAACUUGGAAACUGCCGUUGAUACUAUCAUUCUUGAAUAUCGUGGAGGUAAGCGGAAUAUGUCAUGUAGCGGUGAAAUGCUUAGAUAUGACAUAGAACACCGAUUGCGAAGGCAGCUUGCGACACGAUCAUUGACACUGAGGCACGAAAGCGUGGGGAUCAAACAGG